UACGUAGGGUGCGAGCGUUGUCCGGAAUUACUGGGCGUAAAGAGCGCGUAGGCGGUCUGUUAAGUGAGAAGUGAAAUCUCCAGGGCUCAACCCGGAAACUGCUUUUCAUACUGGCAGACUUGAGGGAUGCAGAGGUGAAUGGAAUUCCCGGUGUAGCGGUGGAAUGCGUAGAGAUCGGGAAGAACAUCAGUGGCGAAGGCGGCCUGCUGGGCUGUUGCUGACGCUGAGGCGCGACAGCGUGGGGAGCAAACAGG
rnacentral:rRNA from 1 species